rnacentral:misc_RNA from 1 species
AAGUCGUAACAAGGUUUCCGUAGGUGAACCUGCGGAAGGAUCAUCACUGAUUCAGGGGGUGGUGGUGGUGGCGUACAAACACCCCAUCAUCAUCCCUAUCAAUCUUGUGUGAAUCGUGUGAGCGCAUAUCUCCAAAGAGUGCGCGUGCGCAUAACGGGAUGUGUCGUGUCUGUUGGUGGGUGAGAGGGGAGUGGUGGUCAUACACCACUCUUUUAUUACCCACCAGCAGCCGACACCCUGUCGCCACCGCCUCUUAUAUAAUAACAACCACACAUACACAUUGGUCUUAAUCUCUCAAAACCAAAAUAUACUAUACAACUUUUAACAAUGGAUCUCUUGGCUCUC